ACUGGUCUUGCCUGAACAUGUCUGGUUUUCUGAAGAUGUACACGACCAUAACUGAAUGAAGCAGUAAAAGCUGCAUGUAGGUAACAACUGGGUACAAAAAGAGAUGCAUUUUCAUAUGGACGAACAAAUAAUGGAUCGUCGGAGAUGGGCCGGGUUUGGGGGGAAUCGAAGAACCUCACUCACCUGCAACUACGUGCAGCGAGGCCGUGGGCGGCGAGCCGGAGAAUUUUAAACCACCACAGCCGCGUCGAAGUGGCCGGCCGGGUGGCCGGCGGCGACGCGCCUAAACGCGCGCGGCAGAGUCGUCGUCGUUCGUCGAUGAAAACCCACGGCCACGCGACGGCAAUGCAAAACGAUGGCCCUACGGCCCUAUUUAUCCUUCGCCGCCGCCGCCGCCGCCGCCAGCACGACACCGCACCGCUCUCGUGUCCAGGGCCCACUGCGCGCUUGGCUCCUCUCACGUCGCAUCGGCAGGUGGCGGGCGCACCCCACGAAGGGACACGUCCUUCUACUCAUGCGGCGAGCGAGCGGUGCUGGGCCUGCUGGCCG
rnacentral:lncRNA from 1 species